rnacentral:rRNA from 1 species
UACGGAGGAUGCAAGCGUUAUCCGGAAUGAUUGGGCGUAAAGCGUCCGCAGGUGGCUAUGUAAGUCUGCUGUUAAAGAGUGAGGCUCAACCUCAUAAAAGCAGUGGAAACUACAUGGCUAGAGUGCGUUCGGGGCAGAGGGAAUUCCUGGUGUAGCGGUGAAAUGCGUAGAUAUCAGGAAGAACACCGGUGGCGAAAGCGGCUCUCUGGGACGGUACUGACGCUGAGACGCGAAAGCGUGGGGAGCGAACAGG